UCCGGUGACCAUACUGAAGAGGAUACACCCGUUCCCAUCCCGAACACGGAAGUUAAGCUCUUCAAGGCCGAUGGUACUUGGGCUUGUCCUUGGGAGAGUAGGUCGUUGCCGGAA
rfam:Desulfotomaculum gibsoniae DSM 7213, complete genome.